CGGGAGCUGCCCCUCCCCGCCGGCUCCCCGGGUACCACAGGCAGGGAGAAGUACCCCGAGAUGGGGAGUUAAGCAAACCUGUUUUACCUAAUGCUGGGCCCAGACAAGGAGCCCACCUGUGGUUGCCUGGUGCAGUUCAUCCGUGGCUGAGGCAACUUCUCAAACCACUUGAAUUCCCUCCUAAGACGCGUCUGCCGGCGCUGUCUCGCGGUGCAGCCCUGGGAGCCAGAGUUCACUCUCCCACCCCACAGGGUCACCACACUCUGCUCCCAGUCUGGGGGGCUGCCUGUGUGUCCCCUGUGCCCGCAGCCAGGCGCUGCUUUGGGGGACCAGGUGUCCCCAUCACCCCACAGCAUCUCCCCCGGCAUCGCGGCUGCUUUUCGUGGACCCGCCGCUCCCGUUUGCAGAGGGCAAAUAUUUGAGCUGCCCUGGCAGCUGUGCCUCAGGCAGAGCCAUCCCUGCAUGGGAUGCAGGUGCCCUUUAGGGCUGAAGCUCCUGAGCAUCAGCAGAGAGGACCCAAACCUCCCUGCCAGCGAGGUGAUGGAGAAGAUGGCUUUAAAUUUGGGCUCCCUUUGUGCCUGCUGAGCACACUUGGCUGGUGGCAGCGAUGUAGCAACUCCCCAGCACACAUGUUAGUGGUUUUGAGGGCUGAAUUGGACCUUGAGAAUUAGCAGCCUUGUAAGUCAAUAACAACAUGUCCUAAUGAAUGCAAGAUGUCCCUAGGAAAUGAAAGCUCCUCUGCUUGACUGGGAGCCUGUGACUGGGAGAGGACCAGUAAACAAGAAGGAAUGUUUCGACUGGAGAUGAGCAGGAGAUACAAACUCGACGUCUAGAGAUUACAAACACACCCCAAAUGUGGGUGGUGGCGGCGGGGGGGGGGGGGGGGGGGGGGGGGAGCACGAGCCAUUUGCAGUUGUGAAAUGCAGUGGUGUCUGUCUCCUGGCCAUCCCCUGAGUCUCCUGGCCAUCCCCUGGAUCUCCCUCGGGUGGGCUGGGCUCUGGAACAUGGCUGGGAAACCCAGGAAUGUCGCUCCUGCCCCUCACCAUCACUGUGCAGGGUGGGAUGACUCCAGCAGCCCCCUACCCCCUCCAGAGCCUGCCUUCCGAGAUCCUGUGCCCACUGUCACCUGCAGCCUGGCUGCUUUCAGCCCCUUCCCACCCUCACUGCCAGUGCUGGUUUCACCAUUUAACUUUUCACCCUUGGAAAUUCCCCCUUCUCAGGCCUGCAGACAUCCCAAGUGCUAGCACUGCUCUGCAUCCUGAGUUUUUAUCCUCCCACUGCCUCAAAAUGAGCAGUUUGAUCAUUCCCUAAUUGCACCCGACACGGACACAGGGCUCUGCUGUGUCAGGAAGCAUCAGGAAUGUCUGCCCAUGGCUCUGGGCCUUGAAGCCUUCGCUGGCUGCCACUGCCACCCCCCCUCUAAUGCCCCCCAAAGUGUCCUGUGCCAUCCUGGCAGCCCAGUGAUUGCUCCCAGGCAGGCAGCUCACUCAGGUUAAACCCUGCAAACACGGGUGAUGCUCAGGGGUGAAUCUGUGCCUCGAAGGAAUGGGACUCUUCACCCCUCCACAGGGCAGCAGCAGUGGGAUUUUGGGAUGGGGGUGGCCCUGAGCUGCUCAGCAUCACUGGGAGCACUGGAGUUCAUGGUCUGCACGUGCAGCUGGGGCUGUGCUGCCUCUUUGCACAUCACCCCGGGUCAACCACCCCGUCCUGCCCGGCCAGUUGGCGUGGUGGGGACGUGGGGCCCUGCUGGUAAAACCACUCCAGGACAAGAUCUAGGAAAAGGCCAGCCUGGUUUCAUGGCUGUCUCCUCCUCCUCGCUCUGAAGUCACUGCAGUUUCAGGUAAGUUUAACAGGUGAUUUGUAUUCACCACCAUUAAGGGCAGUGCUCACCGCUCUGUCCUGCAGGCUGGCUGCACACCACAGGGAAUUGCUCGUUGACCCCAAGCUUUCCUCUCCCAAUUAUCCUGGUUAGCUUGCAGGCAGCCUCGGGAGCGGGGCAGGGAACAGGUCACAGCGAGGGACUCGUCCUCCCGUGCCCCUGCCUGCCCUCGGGCUGGGGGUGCUGGGCAGGGGUGGCUCCUGGAGGGUGUCAGGUCACAGCAGCCUCAAAGCCAGUUGGGAAGAGGAAAGUUCCAGUCCUGGGACACCCCUUGAGCGCCUGCACUGGUGUGUGGCACACCCUGACCGGGCUGGUGCUGACCCAGAGCAGCUGGCACAGCCCUGAUGUGGCUCGUGGAGCAUCACCAGUGCCGUGUCCCCACAGGACGGGUGACAUUCUCCUCACAGGACUUUCUCCUGUGGCCACUGGCACCCUGGGGUACCUGUGCUGAGUGGCCAGAGCAAGUGGCUGGACCUCAGGGUUGCCUCUGGCAGACGGGACCUCGUGGGUCUUGUCCCUCAAACCAACUGUUUGCCCCAAACCUGCAGGAGCCCAAUGCCUGCAAGACCUCAAGGAGCUGUUCCAGUGCUGUGAUUCCCAUCCAGAAGCCCCAAAAGUGGACAUGGGGGUGAAACUGGGAGACUUGAGACCCGCUGCCACCCACGAGCACGCAAGUGCUGGAGCUCAUCAAGGCACAGAUCAGCCCUGCUGGGUUAUAGAGGGACCUUUGACUGUUGACUGGGAUCAUUUCAGCUCGUUUGGAGCCCUGUGAGGGACCUGACAGGGCUCAGCACCACUGGAAUUGGUGUCUGUCUCUGCUGGAUGGUGGGAGGCUGUGCUGGGGUGCUGGGAUGUGCCCUCAGCCACACAAGGACCACGAGUUCUUGCCCAUGAACCCAGCCUGCCCCUGUGUGCUGCUUUCCAGGGAUCCUCGAAUCCCUAAAGGCUCCGUGAGGAUGUUUUAUAAACCCUUCCCGUGCUGAA